UGAGAUCAUGACCUGAGUCAAAAUCAAGAGUUGGAUGCUUAUUGGACUGAGCCACCCAGGUGCCCCAUGUAGUGAGUUUCUUAUUUGAUAAUUCCAUCAAGGAUCUUGGAGGAGAUUCUGACUGGCCAACUAGAGCCAGAGCCAGAUGCCAAUGUGUCAACUGAUCACUAUAGCCAGAGGGAUGGAUAACUCUGUCCUGGCCUAGGACAUGUGUUUAUGUUUGGUGCCAGCUGGUAGGCUGACUUCACUAAACUGUAUGGGCUAAGAACAUGGGAGGUCAGAUGCUGUGAAGGAAAUAUAGGUGCUGUGACCUGAAGGAGGAAUGAGGGAUGCUGAGAAGGCAAAAACGACAGAUGUCCAUGACAGUCAUUUUCUGUGAUAGCACAUUCCAGCAAACAAUUUGGCACCUCUUUUUUCAGAUUGAUUUUGACAACCAUCUGCUCAAAGAAAUUAAGGUUUCCAUCUUGGCUUAUGUGCUUGGCCAUAACAGCAAGUUCAUAUGACAAUUCAAACAGAACAACAGGGAGUAGGGGGCAUUAGUUAGGAAAUAACUGGAAGAAAUAUGAGUAUUGGUACUUCAAUCUUUUUUACAAAAAAAUGGAAUAUUGGAUGGGUGUAUGGAUGGAUGGAUGCACAGAGGAAGGAAGGAAGGAAGGAAGGAAGGAAGGAAGGAAGGAAGGAAGGAAGGAAGGAAGGAAGGAACUGUUACAUUUAUUUGAUUGUGCCAUUUGUCAGAUUAAAACCCUGUUAUAAUGGGCCCCAUUAGAAAGUUCAAAGAAGGUUCAGUUAAUAGAAAACCCUAUCGCAAUGGUUUAAAUAGGGGCUUAUUUAUCUCACACAACUGAGUGUUUAUGGAUAUGUACAUGGUGUGUGCCAUAGGAGUAAUUUUUGCAGGCAGAUCUACCAAUGGAUAUUAAAAUUAGUGGGCAUAUGGUUGAGAAAAGGAUACUUAUAUUAUCUCAAAGUAUCUAUUCCAAGAUAUUUAUUAAUUACAAAGGGACAAAUAGUAAAUUUACAUUGGAAAAACUCAGCAGACACCACCUUAACCAAGUGAUCAGGGCUAAGAUUACCAGUAAUAAGACAUACUGAUUGAUAUCACGCUCCCUGAUAUAAAUGAGAAGAAUACAACAUCACUUCUUUUAUUUUUGCCAAAAAUGCAAAGCCUCAAUCUAGCCUUGAGAAAACAUCAAAAUCAAAUUGAAGAACGUUCUACAAAAUAAUUGACCAGAAAUGUUCAAAAGUGUCACGUACAAGAGAGACAAGUAAAGACAGACAGAAUUGUUCCCAGCCUGGGGGAGACUAAGGACAUAUGACAACUAAAUUCAGGUGGGAUCUUGGGUUGGAUCCUGGAACAGGAAAAAACAUUCAUAGAAAAACUGGGGAAAUCUCUCUUAAUAAGACCUGUAGUUUCAUUAAUAGUAUUGUACCAAAGUUAAUUCCACAGGUUUCAUUAUUGCACGCAGUUAUGGAAGAUGUUAGCAUUAGGGGAAGCUGGGUGAAGGAUACAAGGGAACUCUCCUCUUAUUAUUUUGACAACUUUUCUGUCAGUCUAAAAUUAUUUCAAACUUUAAAGUUAAAAAAGAAAACUGUGUGUUGGUUCUUACUAAACUUAUAGACCAGUGGUCACCACAAUGCAAAGAUUUAUAGGAUUAAGGCUCAAGUCAUACAGAUAAGUGAUCUUAUAGUAUGGAGGAAGGAGCACACGCUAUGGCCUUGAUACUUGUGAUGUCUCUAGGUUUAGGCAAAUUGUGGCACUUGUGCUAGACCUUGAAAGCAUGGGCCAAGGGGUGAGAGGACUUCCAUAAGGGACCCCAACUGAGCAAAGAUACAGAAGUGUGAAUUAAUGCACAUGGCAUGUUCUGAAGGCUGCCCAAACUUCUUCCCAGGCGAAGAAAUAGACUUUGGGCUCUCACUUGGAAUUAGCAUUCUGGAAUUUCAGGACAUGGGAUUGGCUGUGGGACACAGAAAAAUUGGAGAGGAAAGACAGCAUCUUUGGAGAAAGUGUUUUGGAAAAAUACAUACUGGAUAUAUUUCUGUGUUCAAACACACAUUAAAAAUAAGAAUGAAGUCUGAGACUAAAAGCCAGAGUACACAUGUUAGGAGAGAGCUUUUAAGGGCACCACGCUGAUUUAGACCAGGAUAUUGCAGGGCGAAUAUUCCUUUAGAGGACCAAUGAAUGAUGUGGAGUCAGCUGAGGAGCUGUACUUAUCUCAGUCUCAUGUCAACCAGACUUCCAAACUUCCUCCAACGUCAGUGUGCACACAGAGCACCCAGGGAUCUUGUUAAAAUGCAGAUUCUGAUUCAGUAGUCUGGGGUGGAGCCUAAGAUUCUGCAUUUCUAACAAGCUCCCAGGUGAUGCCAGUGCGGCCAGUCCACAAACCUUGCUUUGGAUAGCAACGAUACCGACCACUGGAGAUGUCUGAGCUGCAGAAAGACAGCGAAGACAAUAGAGAGCUGAAAUAUGUCCAACACAUCUGUGCAGGUUCUGAAUACCUUCCUGGCUUUCAUGUACAGAUAAAUAGUCAUAAGCAGAGUUAACAUGGAAAGCUGAAGAAUUUGUCUGAAAAGCCCUAUCAGGCAAGUAGCAUCAGUUUGAAAAGCAGGUGGUAUCUGCCCUCUGGGAACACAGAAUCCAGAGGUGAAGCCAUGAUGCAUCUAUAACACUGACUAUUUUAACCAGUCCAUUGAGCCCAGCCCUGAACUACAGACGGACGGCACAGGGCCUCUCAGGGGCAGCAGAGAACCAGCCAGGUGAAGACUCCCUUACGACAACCUCACUGCCACCAAUGCCUCUGGCCUGGUAUGGCCUGGCUGUGCAGUACGUCCAGCAAGCUGAGCUCUUUCUCAUCCCUUCUUCUGUCAUCGCAUAUCAAGUCUCCUUACAUCCCCUUAACCCUUCUCAGCUCAAACAUCCCAUUACCCAAGAAAAGACCUUCCAGCCUUCCCACCAAAAUGCACCACCAUAUGCAAAAAUUCAGGAGUUGGGAGGUAAGGAAAAGACCCUUUGACCUCUCCGAGGGACUUAUACACUGCUCUUCUACAGGAUAGAAGUGAUUUCUACCUCCUCUACUUAUCAGGCAAGUCAGGAACACCAUGGGCUUCUAAACAAUCAGAUUCUGUUCUACCAAAUGAGCAGAGUAAUGAGUGCUUCCUGCCCACAUUGUGGUGACCAGAACACAACCUGUGCCCUCAAGAUGUUCCUGGUCAAUGGGGAAAGAAGGUCAAGAUAACACUGAAUCCGGUGCCAAAGGCUGCAGGAACCCAAAGGAGGAAUGCCCUAUGGACAGUAGGGGCUGGAAAACUGAGAGAUACACCCUGAAUAAGGGAGUCUGGUGGCUUCCUCCUGAAGCCCCACCUUCUCCAUAAAAGACACCUUAGUGUCUACGUCUCCAUGUGGACUGUCAAGACCUUUGGCUCAUGGAACUUCCCUGCUAUUAGGUGCAGACUCUGUAGCAAAUCCUGAAAACCAAUUCAGUUCAACCUCACAUGGCACACUGUCUCUGCAUUCCCCGUAAUUGGAGUCUUCCUUACAACUGCCUUAUUUCUCCCCAGGUCUCUAAAUCAUGGCCCCCAGAUCUUCCUAAGCCCCUUUGCUCUGAGUCUUAGUAUUCACUCACUGCCCUGGCUUCAGGGCCCCUACCCAGAGCAUGAAUCCUGCACCCUGUCAGCUCCAGCACUGCCCUACCCCUUCCUCACUAUGCUCCCUACUUUCUGAGCAGCUAGGACAAGAAUGCCCCCACCCUGUCCCCACCCAGCCACCAUCAUCCCCAGCAUUUGUUUGAUCCUCUUCUCAUACUGGCUGGUUUGGGGGAACACUUUCCCCCUUCUGCACCCAGAUCCUAGUAUUUUAAGUCUGUGUCCACUGACAUCAGCUGGGAAUCAACUAUUAGAUGGCGCCCCAGAUGGUUGUUUUCUAUAAACCCAAACUCAUCCCUCGGGUAUCUGAUGGAUAAUGUUUUUGAGGUUCAUCCACAUUGUAGCAGAUUUCAGAACUUCAUCCCUUCUUAUGGCUGACUGAUAUUCCUUUGUAUGUAUAUGCCAUAAUCUGUCUAUUCAUCUGUUGAUGGACAUUUGGGUUGUUGCUGCUUUGGGCUGUUACAAAUAAUACCGCUGUGAACAUGUGGGUACAGGUUUCUUUGUGGAUGCUUUCAUUUCUCUUGCAUAUACAUGUAGGUAUGGAAUUGCUGGGUCAUGGAGUAAAAGUUGAACUUUGUGAGAAACCACCACUGCAGCUGCACCAUUUUACUCUCCCUUCCUACCAUUGUCAUUAUCAAUAUUAUAGCAGCUAAUAUUUAUUGGGUGCACAAUGGACCAGACACCAUGUUCUAAGACAAUAGUAUGAAGUUGAUACUGAAGGAAACCAGAAUAUGUCACCCCUAAAUGGCCCUCUUUGAUAUAAAAAUUAUUUUGAGCUAAAGGCAAUUAAGAAGAAACAAACUCAGACAAAACUCCUCUUUUUCUGCCUCAAGGCAAUAUAUAAAUUCUCCUUUUACUGGAGACAGGUUCUUAUCAGCCCAGAGGUGGCCCCAGAGGAGCCUGCAAAUAAAUUUUACUCCAUCAGUUCCCUCCCAUAUACUUACCUCCCACAGGCUGCCGCGACGCCUAACACUGCCUUCCUUUGUCCCGUCAUUUCUCCAAAGAUUUCCAGUUCUUUGUUGAAGAUGCCAGAUAAGCCAAAUUUCUGAGCCACUGCUUUGAGUUACUUUUUGUUCCAUUUUCUCCUGCGUGGUAUGUGUUGCACAUGUUAAUAAACUGUUUGUUUAUCUCUUGUUAA